CAUCCUUCAGCGGCCUGGAAUGCGCGCACCUAAAUCAGCGUGAGUGGACAUCGGUGGGCUGCGGGGAAAGUUGCUAGAGGCUUGCUGCAGGAGGGCGGAAGGGAUGAGGGGCGCGGGGUAGUGGUGAGAAAGAAAGGAGUGUAGGCAUGAUGAGUUUGGUUGUAAAAUUGUGAAAAGAAAGAAAGGAAUACGGAUAAUGAAAUAUUAGUUAAAACAAAAAUAGAAAAAAAUGAAUAAAAAGGUACAAGGAUGAAAAAUAACGAAAUCUGAAAAAAAAAGGAAGCAAAUGUGGAAAAAUGGAAUAGCACUGUGAGUGAAGCAUGACAGUGAUUCCCCGCGUGGUAAUUCGCAUUAAUUAGUGGAAGGUGUUACACAAUUCUGUCUAAAACACGUCUGCUUGGAAAAAAUACAUAUUCUCUCUCUCUCUCUCUCUCUCUCUCUCUCUCUCUCUCUCUCUCUCUCUCUCUCUCUCUCUCUCUCUCUCUCUCUCUCUCUCUCUCUCUCUCUCUCUCUCUCUCUCUCUCUCUCCUGCGUGGCCAGAUAAGCUGUAGCCAGUAUCACUUUACUAAAACACUUGUUACGCAGCCUGGAAUGUUCAGGAGCUCAUCACGAGGCAACACAACUAGCGAGGCAAGGAGAGAGGCAAGGACGGACAGACCAGACGGACGGACGAACGGAGGGAGGGAGGGAGGGAGGGAGGGAGGGAGUCUGGUGUGUAAUAGGCUGAUGUACUAUUCAUGCCUAGACGCUCGGGGACUGCUCCUGCUGUUGCCGUGAAAUUCUCCGCCACACCAAUAUUAUUACCCCAAUAUGACCCCCUUCAAUUAUGUUGUUGUUGUUAUUGUUGUUGUUCUCUCUGUGUGUGUGUGUGUGUGUGUGUGUGUGUGUGUGUGUGUGUGUGUGUGUGUGUGUGUUUCAUAACAAUUUGACAUGGCAGGAUGCAAAACGUUUCUCAGUAAUGAGCGUGUUCACAUCCUUCUUCCCGCCACGAAAAAAAUAGAACACCUAAGACGCCACGGCAGUGAGAGAGAGAGAGAGAGAGAGAGAGAGAGAGAGAGAGAGAGAGAGAGAGAGAGAGAGAGAGAGAGAGCACUUCUACGUUCUCAUGUCGUCAUGUUGCACAAGUUAUUCAAGAGUGGCAUUCACUAAUUCACCAGCACGACCUGUCAGUACACCGAGCACACGCUUCCUGGAAAAUGCUGCAAAUCCUUCCCAUGAUACUACGUGUUUAUGAAAAGCAAUGCUUCUCAUCAGCAGCAGCCCCUUGCUUUCAGAUUCAUGGGGUGAGUUUGCAUUAACUGCUUCUCCCGAGCGGACGUGUUUCCAUUACUUCAUAUCUAACUCAAGCAGUCUCCACCAAUAUGUUAACACUUUGCCUAAUUUGUGGUUCAUGUUCCUUCAUUACUUUCAUCGAGCAACUGUCGCCACACAGUGAAAUGCUCUCGUCGUUAAAUGCAAGGUUUUCAUUACAUUUCACAUUAUUCUAACCUUUAACAGAGAGAGAGAGAGAGAGAGAGAGAGAGAGAGAGAGAAAAAGAGAGAGAGAAUGAUGAAGCGAAUAGCUUUGCCUUGAGCUUGUUCAACACUGCCGCGUGGCUGGCUGGCUGUGUUGUGUGAUCCGUGUAUGUAUUAGCGCGUCUGGCGCGACACGUUUCGCUUAUAUACUAGUUUAUAGCCGUGCCUGUGACUGCAGGAGGUCCACGCCACACGCCGUGUUCGUUUGUAUAUGAAACUGCAAUGGUUUAGUUUUUACGAGCACAUCAAAGAGCCGCACGUCUCAUUAAGUGUUUUUACAGCGGACCGCUUGCAAGGGAGGAUUGCUUGUUUACAGCAAGUAAUUUAAUUAAAGAUUCAUGUUAUACCUUCACUGUUUUAAUUAAAUCAUGGUCAUAAGAGUUGAGGGUAAUGAGCAGCAUGUACGUAGCUCUUUGUGUGACGCUCGGUGAGACAUGCAACACUGUCUGUCUGUCGGUCUGUCUGUCUGUCGGUAGUGGGAGUUAACACGAUACUUGGGAACACUGCGCCGACUCCUUAAGCAGUCAAGGCCUAAGUGAAACACGGGAUUCAUUGUCCGAAGCACCAACGACACGAGAUGGCAACCCAAACACACACACACACACACACACACACGUGGUAAUGGCUCUCCCGCCCACCUCAUCUCAGCAAAUGUUUGUUGGCAGUUUUCCACAUUAAUAGGCCGCAAUUUUCCUUAAGUAAAGUCGUCUUGGUCUCGUUCGGAGUAAAUUACCAUCAUCACAGUAGUUUGUAGUUUAUUUUUUCAUCCAACACUCUCAGACUUCCCCACACGUCAUAUUGGCAAUUCUCUCCUUCCCCCACCAUUCUCUCUCUCUCUCUCUCUCUCUGCCGUCAACCACAACGUGCACACCUUCCCUCCUCUCCUCACCUCAGACUCUGUUGACUGAUAACUAACGUGCUUAAUUUCCCAUUGGUUUGUACCGGAACUCCGCCAGUCCCUACGCACCACAGAUGACAACUCUGCUAACGCCUGUCAGCCUCCAGUGAUCCCUCGUUACAAACUUUUCUGGACCCUGACCGGAGGAGGCAAUGAGUGUUGUUCUGUCUGCCUGCCUGGCCGUGAAUAGGCUAGUGAGUUGCCCGCUAGGUAUCCUUACAGACCUCAGACCUUGCCGUAUUGCUCGAAAUUAAACCAAGUACUGCUAGUUAAUUCAGACGGGUCGCAAUUACUAUGGACUCGUGGAAGACCAAAGCUUUUCCGCUCGAAUCAAGGUCUUAACGAAGGCGAUGAAACACCUCCACCGAACCCAAGUGAAGGCGAGCAGACGGAGUGGCGGGCAGGAGUGGUGGGUCAGUGGCUUCUUACCUUGACCUCCGUGAACACAGUGGAGAGCCUGUGAGCUGCAAACACCACAACUUCACGGCGCCUUUGUCCCCCCUCGCCUGGCUGGUUGUCUUGCAUCUCUCCGACACUCCAAUUCGUGACUCAGCCUCCACUCGUCCGUGAAUCCCCGAUGCACCCUCACCACCACUACCUUUAUCAUCACCGCCCCUUCAAUAGAUUGGCUUCUGAGGGCAGCUCCAUUGUCCCUAACCCCUCUCUGUCCGGAUUACGUUGCGUCUAUUUUUGUUUGUAAUGAUUUAUUUCUAUGUGUUUGUUCUGUCAUUG